rnacentral:rRNA from 1 species
GACGUAGGGUGCAAGCGUUAAUCGGAAUUACUGGGCGUAAAGCGCGUGUAGGCGGCUCUUCAAGUCAGGCGUGAAAUCCCCGGGCUCAACCUGGGAACUGCAUUUGUGACUGCAUCGCUGGAGUGCGGCAGAGGGGGAUGGAAUUCCGCGUGUAGCAGUGAAAUGCGUAGAUAUGCGGAGGAACACCGAUGGCGAAGGCAAUCCCCUGGGCCUGCACUGACGCUCAUGCACGAAAGCGUGGGGAGCAAACAGG